UGAUUUAUUUAUUUUACUUUUAUUUUAGUUAAUUAAUUUUGUUUAAUUUGAAUUAAAUUAUUUUAUUUAGUUUUAGUAUUAUUUUGAAUUAAUAAUUUAUGUUAUAGUUUAUUUGUACUGUUAAGGUUUAAUUAUUAAAGUUUUAUAGUAGACUUUUUUGUUGUACCUUUUGUAUCAGGGUAGAUUUAAUAAUAUAUUAUUUAUUUAAUAAUCUCGAUUUAAUUUGAUCUAAUUAAUUAUGUUAGUUAUAGUUUCAUAUCUAUUGACAAUAAUUAAUUAGGUGUGAUAUGCUAUUCAUAAAUUAAGGUAUCUAGUUUUCUAAGAAUUGAAUUUAAUUCAGCUAAUAUCAUUUAAUAUGGGUAUUAAAUUAUAUUUUAUUAUUUGUUUUUGGUAAUUCUUUGGGGGAUAAGCUCUGAAGAAAUAUUGUUUAUUAAAAUUUAUUAUUUAAUUAUUAUUAUGUAGGUUUUAUAUUAUCUAUCAUUAUUUAGUAUUUUAUAAUUUAUUAUAAUUUUUAUUUGAUUUAAGGUUUAAAAUUUAAUUAUUUAUUGGAAUAGGGUAAAACUAAUUUUUAAUUUUUGGUUAUAAUGAUUUAAUUAGUAUAUUUAUUUUUUAAUGAAUAAUAAAGAUCUAAUUGGUGUUAAUUUAUUUAAAGGAAUUAGGCAAAGCUAAAAUAAUUAGUGUUUAUUCGCCUGUUUAUCAAAAACAUCUUUUCUUGAGUUUUAUUUGAAAUUUGACCUGCCCAAUGAUUUUAUUUAAUGGCCGCAGUAUUCUUGACUGUGCAAAGGUAGCAUAAUCAUUAGUCUAUUAAUUGUGGGCUUGUAUGAAUGGUUGGACGAGAUAUUAUCUGUCUCUAUUUAAUUAUUAGAAUUUAAAUUUUAAGUUAAAAUGCUUAAAUUUACUUAUUGGACGAGAAGACCCUAUUGAUCUUUAUUAUAAUUGAGUUAUUUUAUUUUAGUUUAUAUUUAUAUUUAGUUUAUUUAUUGUUUUGUUGGGGUGACAAGAAGAUAUAUUUAACUCUUUAUUUUUAUUUUCAUUUAUUUAUGUUUAUUUGACCUUUUAUUAUUGUUAUAAGAUAUAGAUACCUUAGGGAUAACAGCGUAAUUUUCUCUGAGAGUUCUUAUUGACGAGAAGAUUGCGACCUCGAUGUUGGAUUAAGAUUAUAAUCAGGUGUAGAUGCUUGAUAUUAUAGGUCUGUUCGACCUUUAAAUUCUUACAUGAUCUGAGUUCAAACCGGCGUGAGCCAGGUUGGUUUCUAUCCUUAAAAUUCUUAUUUAUAUUAGUACGAAAGGACCAUAUAUUUUAAAUAUUUUAAAUAUUUUGAUUAUUUU
rnacentral:rRNA from 1 species